GCGGAUAUGGCGGAAUUGGCAGACGCGCCAGAUUUAGGAUCUGGUGGGCGACCCCCGUGCAGGUUCAACUCCUGUUAUCCGCACCA
rnacentral:tRNA from 1 species